GGAAGACAGAAUCGGAAAUCAAUAGGACCUGAACAGAUUGGAGAACUGGGCGCUAGCGAACAAAGUGAAUUUCAAGAGGGACCAAUGGAAGGUUCUGCACUUAGACAGGAAGAACCGGGUGCGCAAAUAUAAGUUGGGGAACACCUGGCUUACCCGCAAUACAGCUUUUACAUCUUCUUGACAAGCUGGAGCCAAGAUUCCCUGUUCUACCUAUUAAAGAUAACAGAUUCCUGGCCUCCUCUGCACCUCAUCGCCCUAAAGAAAACAACUUUUGUCUGAAAGUUUUGAAUGUAGCAGAAAUAAAAGUCUAAAACCUCCUGCA